GUGUAGUGUGGAGAAGUCCAUACUUACGUCUUGAUGAGAGGCCAUAUUCCUUGGUGCUGUCCUUUGUUGUCCCUUGUGUGCUGCGUGGAGGAGGUCCUUUAACGCCUUCUCCCGUCCAGCCGGACUUCUCUGUUCAGCUCCGACGGUGAUGGUCCUCUCUUCAGUCACGCAUGUGACGACUUAUCUCCAGUGUUCAGUGGGCGUGCAAGGCAAUCAGAAAAUCCUGUUAUUCAGUUUCCAUGAACACAUGAUGACAGAACUGGA